UACGGAGGGUGCAAGCGUUAUCCGGAUUCACUGGGUUUAAAGGGAGCGUAGGUGGGGUGGUAAGUCAGUGGUGAAAUCUCCGGGCUUAACUCGGAAACUGCCGUUGAUACUAUUUGUCUUGAAUACUGUGGAGGUCAGCGGAAUAAUGUCAUGUAGCGGUGAAAUGCUUAGAUAUGACAUAGAACACCAAUUGCGAAGGCAGCUGGCUACACAAAUAUUGACACUGAGGCAACGAAAGCGUGGGGAUCAAACAGG
rnacentral:rRNA from 1 species